CAUGUCCUCCCUGUCUCCUCAGGAUGUGAAUUGGCUGGACCAAGAGUUCUUCCCACACCUGUCUGAGCUCUCUGACCUCACCUUCCUUUCCCCACUGGGAGACAACCCCGGGACUGGGAAGAAUGCCAUUCCAAGUCUGCCACCUUCAACGCCCCUCGGUAACACAUCCCUGACCCCAUGGAACAUAUCUCCACCCAUCAUCAUGGCAAACCCAAGGACAAGAGAAGGAAGGCAACAAUUCCUCUGAAUUCUAUUGGAAGCACCCUUACAUCCAACCAGCAGAGCAGAAAGGAUGAACCAGAAGACUACUGGGAAUAUGACUGAAUUAUCUCCACUCAUCCAAUGCUGACUUUACAGUUCAAAUCAGAAUUCAUUGUGAAUGUUAGUUGGUUGUUUUGUAAAGAUGAAUUCCCACAAAUAGGUUUGAAAGCAUGUUAAUAUUUAUUUAUAUUUAAGAUAUUUAACCUGCUUAGAUGUUAGGGACUGAACACCCUCUAGUGGUUGUGUAUGUACAACAACAAACAUCCUGUGUGCCUAA